UGCUCUGUAGAUGAUGUUGGCUUUUAAACU
rnacentral:piRNA from 1 species